GCCGGGUGUGGUGGCUCACACCUGUAAUCCCAGCACUUUGGGAGGCUGAGGUGGGUGGAUCACCUGAGGUCGGGAGUUUGAGACCAGCCUGGCCAACAUGGAGAAACCCCGUCUCUA
rnacentral:SRP_RNA from 1 species